rnacentral:lncRNA from 1 species
GAACACCAUCAAUCUGUAGUACGUGAGAUCUUUGGAAGUUCUCUUGGGAUCGUGAGCUCUACAUUCUACACUAUUUUCAGAACCUUGGAGUCAGGAGAUGGAAUCUACUCCUGGUUCUGCCACAAACUAGCCGAGCAUCCCUGGCAAAUCAUGCUUCCUGUUUGGCCUGGAAUGGGGGCAUAGACUAUACACGAACCUCUAAGGCAUGUGAAGAAUACAGCAUCCCUCGAGUCCAGAGAUUUGAGAUCACCAGUGUUUAUCCAGCCGGCAUGAUGGCGAUGAGAGAAGAGAGAAACUUCAGAGCCAAGGAAGAUUUGUGCUAUGGAUAAACAGGAUGGCUCCAGUGAAUUUAUCUUAACUGCUCUGUGGUAUUGCACCAUAGGAAUGUUUUAGCAUUUAUCUAAUCUAUUGAUGGCCAUCUGGUGAGUUUCCAGGGUUUUUGUUUUGUUUUGUUUGCUGGUUUUUUUAACCUUGAUAUAUAAACAUUUUUAUGGCACCCUCUCCUGAUGCAUGUGCACAAGAGUUUCUUUAGUGACAUUUACGAGGUCUUGGUGUGCACAUCUUGAGCUGACAAAAAGAUCUCAAAAAUAAACAGCAAAUACGAG